ACCCUGGAGGAAACGACGUGCCGGACACCAGGAAUGACCAAUGGCAGCUGCAGGAGCCGCUGGCUCGGGGCGGUGACCUGGUGCCAGGGCUCUGUUUUCCUGGAGGGGCAGCAGCCCACGGUGGAGCUCUCCUGUGAGAAGGCUCCGGCCACGUUUGGCCGGGUCUGGAAAUCCAAGGUCAAAGAUUUCUUUGGCAAGAUCAAACAGGUUUUCCGGGAUUUCUU